rnacentral:lncRNA from 1 species
AGUGUAUUUCAAUUUAGUAAAAGCUUGGCCAGAAUAAUCCAUGUGAUGGAUUUGAAAGGUUAAAAUAUAAUGUAGUUGACUAUAUUAGAGUUGACAGUCAAAUCCUAGGUCAUCUUGAGCACUAGAAUCAAAGGGAUAAAUUAUACAGUAACUGUUGGGUAUAAAAUAACCCCAGCCGAAGUUUGUAAGAGGCCAACCCACCCAGGACUCCCCCAGC